rnacentral:rRNA from 1 species
GACGAACGCUUGCGGCGUGCUUAACACAUGCAAGUCGAACGGAAAGGCCCUGCUUUUGUGGGGUGCUCGAGUGGCGAACGGGUGAGUAACACGUGAGUAACCUGCCCUUGACUUUGGGAUAACUUCAGGAAACUGGGGCUAAUACCGGAUAGGAGCUCCUGCUGCAUGGUGGGGGUUGGAAAGUUUCGGCGGUUGGGGAUGGACUCGCGGCUUAUCAGCUUGUUGGUGGGGCAGUGGCUUACCAAGGCUUUGACGGGUAGCCGGCCUGAGAGGGUGACCGGCCACAUUGGGACUGAGAUACGGCCCAGACUCCUACGGGAGGCAGCAGUGGGGAAUAUUGCACAAUGGGCGGAAGCCUGAUGCAGCAACGCCGCGUGCGGGAUGACGGCCUUCGGGUUGUAAACCGCUUUCGCCUGUGACGAAGCGUGAGUGACGGUAAUGGGUAAAGAAGCACCGGCUAACUACGUG